rnacentral:tRNA from 1 species
GCUGGCAUGGCUCAGAGGUAGAGCAGCUGAUUCGUAAUCAGCAGAUCGAGAGUUCGAAUCUCUCUGCCAGCU